CAUACCUUGCCACUGUUCACUUUAAUUUCUUAUGCUGCUUAUGGAAACUCUCCAUUAGUGUUUAGCUUUCUUUAUCUCCUUUUCACUUUCUAGCUUAUUUUUGGUGCCUCAUUCAUUUCACUCCUUUUAAUACCUAUUUUCCGUCCUCCUCUAUGUGGCUUUAAAUUUAAUUGGUAACCUCCUUGUUCAUUAAUACCUAUUUGCUGUCCUCCUCUAUGUGGCUUUAAAUUUAAUUGGCUUGUUCAUAUCCUCUGUACUAAACGCUUUUUUGGAACCUAAUUUUGUUGCCAUCUAUAGAAUUACUUUGUUGCUUUGUGCUGGUCCUCAUCCAUAACGCUUCUCUUUUUCUUUGUUUGAAUACACAAUGCUUCUCACUUCACAUUUUUCUUGUUUUCGGUCUUUGCUACCUCACUUUUGUCACCCUUUUUCGCAUUUAGCUCGUUCCUUUAUCUCUCCUGAGUUCCAGUACUAUAUAUAAGAAUAACCACCUUCCUCAUUCACCACAACAACAAAAGAGAGAACAGGCUUACUAGCUUUUUACAUGGUCUUUUCCACUUUGAAAUCAUGGAGAACUCUAGAAUGAAAAAGUGUUCCAUUGUUAGAAAUGGGUGGCAUGGGAGAAAUAAAGCUAGUUUACUUUUACUGAUAAGGCGUAGUGCCUAUGAAAAGUAUUCUUUAUGGAGGAUGAAGAACAAGGACGAAUCUUUAUUCUCACUUCAUAGACCACAAAAUCUUCGGUGGACGGAGGCAAUGUUUAAUAAGAUUAAUGGCUUGGAUGCUUGUGGUUCAAGACAGAAUGUUUAUUUUUUGAAAAGCUGGUUCACUGUGAAUGCAUUAUGAGAAUUCCAUGAGAAUUCUCCAAUGAAGCUGGUGCACUGUGGAUGCAUUAUAUCUUCCCUUAAUUCGAAAAAUGGGAUCUGGGUACGUUAGUUUAACACCCAUCAUCCCAUGGAUGAGUUUCCUUCCAUAGGGGUUAUGAUAUGAUGCCUAGCCACUUUACUGGUUGCAGUAACUCUAUUCAACUAUAUUCGAUCUGCCACAUCGUGCAGAAGCACAGUAUACCAAAAUAUAUUUGUUCAUUGAACGAAAUUCCAUUCAGGGAAAGCUAAUGAAUGCAUCGGGUUGCAUAUAAUGUAAUGAUAUAUAAAUCAAUUUCGCUUCAUCUCCAACAUA